AGUUUAUUAGCUUCUGGUAAUAUGUUAGCUGUAUAUUUAAGUAAUACAUGGUAUUAAAAGAGUGGGAGAGAGGAAUAUGCUUUUUUUAGUUAAUGAUUUAAUAAGGUUAAAUAUAAUAGGUAUUAAAUCGAUUAGUGGGUUUAUAACAGGUUAAUUAAUAUCUCUACACCAGUAGUUAGGGUUGAUUAACAUAUAGAAAUAUAGAUUAAGUAAUGUAUGAAAGAGGGGAAUAAUAAAGUGCCAGCAUUCGCGGUCAGUCUUUACACCUCAAGUUAAUAGUUUUGUAAAAGAGUGAGGUUAUAAAUAAAGUAUUGGUUUUGGUUUAUAGCGGUCAAAUGUGUAGUAAGUUUAAAAAUUAAGGGCUACUUAAAAACCUAAUCUGUAAAGGCUGUAACAAAGACAAGGAUUUGAUACCCUUUUAUUUAUGCUGUCAAAUAAUUUACGGGGACUACGGGCUAUAAUUGCUUAAAACUUAAAGAAGUUGGCGGUGCUCUAUAACCAUUAAGGGGAACUUGGCGAUUAAAUUGAUGAUCCUCAAAUUACCUCACCUUUAGUGGUCUUUAUAUACCGCCGUUGAAAGGUAAUUUUGAAGAAAAAAGAUACGGGCGUAAUGUAUAUAAAUGAAUUUAUACAGGAAUUCAGGUACACGUAUAGGGUCUAAAGGGUUUAGCUGAGUUACAAUUAUAAAAUAAGACGGAUUUAUUAGUGAAACAUUGGUGAGGAAGGUGUACUUAUUAGUAAAUUUUUAUAAGGGAGGAAAGUUGAAUAGGGUAAUUGGAGUGCGUACAAAUCGCCCGAUACCCUACGUAUUUAAAGUCGAGGUAAGUCGUAACAUAGUAAUGCUAGUAUAAAUUGGUGUUGUA
rnacentral:rRNA from 1 species